rnacentral:rRNA from 1 species
GUCGAGAAUAAUUCACAAUGGGGGAAACCCUGAUGGUGCAACGCCGCGUGGAGGAUGAAGGUCUUCGGAUUGUAAACUCCUGUCAUCCGAGAGUAAGACCUGGCGGUGAAUAGCCGACAGGGUUGAUAGUAUCGGAAGAGGAAGGGACGGCUAACUUCGUGCCAGCAGCCGCGGUAAUACGAAGGUCCCAAGCGUUGUUCGGAAUCACUGGGCGUAAAGGGAGCGUAGGCGGCAUGGUAAGUCAGGUGUGAAAUCCCGGGGCUCAACCCCGGAACUGCCCCCGAUACUGGCAUGCUAGAGGGUUGGAGAGGUGACUGGAAUUCUCGGUGUAGCAGUGAAAUGCGUGGAUAUCGAGAGGAACACUCGUGGCGAAGGCGAGUCACUGGACAGUUACUGACACUGAGGCACGAAGGCCAGGGGAGCGAACGGGAUUAGAAACCCUUGUAGUCC